CGAAGAUCCGUCAUUUAAAUAUGAUUUUGUUUGUUCUUUCCUGACGGCUCGCAUUCCAAUUCUCUGCCAUUUUAAAUUUGUAAAAUGGACACAAGUUUCUGCAAACUCAAAGCAAACAUUUACUCCUCCACAGCCUGUACCCAAUGUUGAUGAUAUGAUAAACAAGCAUUGACGAUCCCCUGAUUUCUUUUAUGGUUCAUCUUCUGAUCCAAUUUAAUGCUAUUCCAUAUUUCCACUGUUGUUUUAAACCCCCCAUGGACGACCACUUUUGAAGCUAACACACCUUGGAAGUGGAAGAAGAGGGUCUGUGCUUUUCGUUUGUUUUUUUUCUGGGUUCGAUCACAUAUUUAAGCAACCCUGUCUCAGCCAUGUUCAAGUCCACGUUAAAUAAUUUCAUCCCUGUGUAUUGAAAUCCGAAGUUACAGCAUCAAGUAUAUAGGCAGAGAUCGAGUUGUUUUUCAUAUCUGAGUUGUGAAUUUGUAUGUUAUUCUACUGUGACUUUGCAUGUUGAUUUUGCUGUGUUUUUCUUGACUGCAUUCGCAGAUAUAGCUUUGAACCACCACCAUGUUAAUGCAAACAAAUGCUUGUCUGACAUACUAUUAAACAGGAAACUGAAGUUCCAGACGGAUGAACAUUGUAACCACGGGAGAAAGAAGGUUCACCCAGAUGAUCUAAAUCUUGAUGACUACCAUCCCAUCGAUCCAGUUCCAAGUUCAAAAACAUCAGUCAAACCCGGGCCGAUAGAGCACGGCGCUCCUCUCCUCCCCCAUAUGCCAAAUCCUCCACCUCCCAGUCAGCCAGGCGGUUACGCUUAGAUAGCACAAACGUUUACCUUCUCUACUAGUUGUCUUAAAUAAUCCAAGUUUGUUUUUCAUGGAAACCAAACCAACUACGUUAUCCUGUCUCUUUUAUUUCGUGUAUUUAGUUGUCUUGUGUGUUAUCAUUUCUAUUUAAGUAUCCUUUAAAUGAUAUAUCUUCUGUUAUUUACAGAAACAAGAUAGUGUGCAUUAUACUGUGUUUCUGUCUCAAUCCCUUCUGUUGAAAUAUCUAUAGAAAGCAAAAGGUAUGAAGGGGUGUGGUAAUCAACCAAGAGCACCAACUCCAUUGAAAUAGAUAGAAGAUCAAAGGGGAAUAUUUUCUUCUUCCUUAAGCUAAAAAUUGUAACCACCAACUUUGGGGGAUUAAAAUCCCAUCAAUCAACAUCUAAACAAGUGUGCUUUCCUUCCA